rnacentral:rRNA from 1 species
GACAGAGGGGGCAAGCGUUGCUCGGAAUUACUGGGCGUAAAGGGCGCGUAGGCGGGCUGGCAAGUCGGUCGUGAAAUCCCUCGGCUCAACCGAGGAACGUCGAUCGAUACUGCUGUUCUUGAGGAUUGCAGAGGAGACUGGAAUUCCCGGUGUAGCGGUGAAAUGUGUAGAGAUCGGGAGGACCACCGGUGGCGAAGCCGGGUCUCUGGGCAAUUCCUGACGCUGAGGCGCGAAAGCGUGGGGAGCAAACGGG